rnacentral:tRNA from 2 species
GGGCGAUUAGCUCAGUUGGUCAGAGCACCUGCCUUACAAGCAGGGGGUCACUAGUUCAAGUCUAGUAUCGCCCACCA